AUUGAACGCUGGCGGCAGGCCUAACACAUGCAAGUCGAGCGGAUGAAGAGGGCUUGCUCUCUGAUUCAGCGGCGGACGGGUGAGUAGUGCCUAGGAAUCUGCCUGGUAGUGGGGGACAACGUUUCGAAAGGAACGCUAAUACCGCAUACGUCCUACGGGAGAAAGUGGGGGAUCUUCGGACCUCACGCUAUCAGAUGAGCAUAGGUACGAUUAGCUAGUUGGUGAGGUAAAGGCUCACCAAGGCGACGAUCGUUAACUGGUCUGAGAGGAUGAUCAGUCACACUGGAACUGAGACACGGUCCAGACCCCUACGGGAGGCAGCAGUGGGGAAUAUUGGACAAUGGGCGAAAGCCUGAUCCAGCCAUGCCGCGUGUGUGAAGAAGGUCUUCGGAUUGUAAAGCACUUUAAGUUGGGAGGAAGGGCAGUAAGUUAAUGCCUUGCUGUUUUGACGUUACCGACAGAAUGAGCACCGGCUAACUUCGUGCCAGCAGCCGCCGUAA
rnacentral:rRNA from 1 species